UGGGGGUGUGGCGGAAUGGUAGACGCUGCGGACUUAAAAUCCGUUGACUAUAAAAAGUCGUGAGAGUUCAAGUCUCUCUACCCCCAUC
rnacentral:tRNA from 1 species